GACGAACGCUGGCGGCGUGCCUAAUACAUGCAAGUCGAACGCUGAAGGAGGAGCUUGCUUCUCUGGAUGAGUUGCGCACGGGUGUGUAACGCGUAGGUAACCUGCCUGGUAUCGGGGGAUAACUCUUGGAAACGCUAGCUAAUACCGCAUAAGAGUAGAUGUCGCAUGACAUUCGCUUAAAAGGUGCAUUUGCAUCACUACCAGAUGGACCUGCGUUGUAUUAGCUAGUUGGUGAGGUAACGGCUCACCAAGGCAACGAUACAUAGCCGACCUGAGAGGGGGGUCGGCCACCCUGGGACGGAGACGCGGCCCAGACCCCUACGGGAGGGAGCAGAAGGGAAACGUCGGCAAGGGACGGAAGGCAGACCGAGCAACGCCGCGUGAGGGAAGAAGGGUUUCGGAUCGGAAAGCUCUGUUGUAAGAGAAGAACGGGAGUGAGAGUGGAAAGUUCACACUGUGACGGUACCUGACCAGAAAGGGACGGCUAACUACGUG
rnacentral:rRNA from 1 species